UCUAAUUAAAUAAAGAUAAACUCUUUUAAGCAAUUCAUCAAACACCUUGUAUGCGUGCUUUUGUGAGUUAAACCACUUUAGUAAAGGGUUAUAUCAACUCACCUCAAAACUUCUCGAGUCAAUACGUAGGCCCCAGUCCAAUUGACACCAGUCAAACAAUCGAUUCUACAACAACCAGUGCAUUUUAAUCAAUUUCAAAGUACUACACCUAAUUAUGAAAUUUAUUGAUGAUAUAGAGGAAGAAGGGUAUUAGCUAUUUAAUUCUUACAUAUUACUACUGUAGGGUAAUUGACAAUAGGAGAUUUUACAUACCUGAGUUCAAGAAUAAGUGAGUUAUGAGAACCCUAGGAUUUUUAUUCGUUGCCUGUGUGCUCUGGUUCGUGAGCGAACAGAACUCAGUGUUCUGUUUUUCGUCUAAGGCAGGCAAAAGUCUUUACCCUUUUUGAAGAA
rnacentral:lncRNA from 1 species